GAUGAAGAACGUAGCGAAAUGCGAUAAGUAAUGUGAAUUGCAGAAUUCCGUGAAUCAUCGAAUCUUUGAACGCACAUUGCGCCCGCCAGUAUUCUGGCGGGCAUGCCUGUUCGAGCGUCAUUUCAACCAUCAAGCCCCAGGCUUGUGUUGGGGACCUGCGGCUGCCGCAGGCCCUGAAAACCAGUGGCGGGCUCGCUAGUCACACCGAGCGUAGUAGCAUACACAUCGCUCAGGGCGUGCUGCGGGUUCCGGCCGUUAAACCCCUUUUUUACCCAAGGUUGACCUCGGAUCAGAUAGGAAGACCCGCUGAACUUAAGCAUAUCAAUAAGCGGAGGA
rnacentral:misc_RNA from 1 species